AUUGAACGCUGGCGGAAUGCUUUACACAUGCAAGUCGAACGGUAGAGGGGCAACCCUCGAGAGUGGCGAACGGGUGAGUUAUACAUCGGAACGUGCCCAGUCGUGGGGGAUAACGUAGCGAAAGUUACGCUAAUACCGCAUACGAUCUGCGGAUGAAAGCGGGGGACCGAAAGGCCUCGCGCGAUUGGAGCGGCCGAUGUCAGAUUAGGUAGUUGGUGGGGUAAAGGCCCACCAGGCCGACGAUCUGUAGCUGGUCUGAGAGGACGACCAGCCACACUGGGACUGAGACACGGCCAAGACUCCUACGGGAGGCAGCAGUGGGGAAUUUUGGACAAUGGGCGCAAGCCUGAUCCAGCCAUUCCGCGUGCAGGAUGAAGGCCUUCGGGUUGUAAACUGCUUUUGUACAGAACGAAAAGCUCUGGGUUAAUACCCUGGGGUCAUGACGGUACUGUAAGAAUAAGCACCGGCUAACUACGUGCCAGCCGCCGCAGUAA
rnacentral:rRNA from 1 species